UCUUAUCAAUAUAUAACUAUAUUUUGGUUUCAAUAAUCUCUAUUUAUCCUGCAGUUAGAAACCAAGUUCUGACGUCGUUCAAGGACACUCGACAAAUAGUUUUGCUGCUAACAGCAGGAUAUCGCCUCAACUGUUGUUGCACUUUGGAUGCUUGCGUUGAUACGCAAUUACAUUUACAGUUUCAAUAACAAUAACAUUUGCGUACAGCUAUUCAUUUUAUCAAAAUCUUAAAUUUCUUUAUCUAUUUAUACCAGAUUUUUUAAUUCUUUUUAUAUUUAAUAUAUUGCAAGAAAACAUAGUCAUUAGAUAAAAAUAAAUUCUGAAUACACGAGCAAAUGUCGACGUUGUGGUUUAACUAUUGUGCCAAAGAGGCAAAUGAACUUUGAGCGCAUUGUGUUUUAUGGAGCUCAGUUUAGAGAAGAUAACAAUGUCUAUAAAUUUACAAUGACUCUUUUCUAGCAAGCAAAAAACUUAAUCGUUUGAAUGAUAACGCGGUAAGUUUGUGACGAAAAUAAAUAAGUAAACUAUAGCUAAAAUUGUGAAAUUAACAACAAAUUUCCCUUAUCUGAAAACGCACUGCUUUGUUUGGUUAUUUUUGUUCGUUAAUCUUCAAUAAUUCGUUAAAAAAAAAUUGGAGACAAAGCAUUGAUUUUGUAAUUCUUAAAUUUAGACUCAUUCGUCCGUAUAGUUCGAUAAUUUAAUAGAAAGUAUUGAAAUCGACCGUAAAAUCAUUCAAAUUUAGCGACAGAUUAAACUUAUGCAUGCAAACUUUACACUUUUCAUGACAUACUAACUCAAUAGGUUAUCUUAGAUUUUAAAUAAAUAAUAUAAAGUGUAAAUAUUUUCGUAAACAUCUUUUUUAGCAUUAAAAACAGUCCGAAAGGAGAUAAUAACUGCAAAAAAACAAAUUAUAAACAAAUCAGAAAGUAAUUUCCUCAAUUUGACAGUGACAAAUAAAUUUCAAGGUUAUGUUCCACAA